UGCUAUUCACUGGGAAGAUUUUAAAACUUUCUUUUCUUUUAUUUAUGUCUUCCUCGUCUUCUGUCUGCAACAAACAUUAUGGCAGUGGAAGUUUAUGCUUCUGUCAUAGGAGUCAAUGUGGGCUUUUUUUUUUUUUAUGAUACAGAGCUGGAAGAGCAUUCCUUACUCAUAAUUAAUUCCUCUCCCGAGCCUGGUGUGGUGCGUCUGAGGAGCCAGAAGCUUAAUCAUGUCUGCAAAUCACAUGGCUGGAUCUCCAUGGUGAUAGAAUCAUGUGGUAUGUAAAUAGGAGCUGGAUGGCCGAGGUUACUUUGGCAACCCGAGUAGCACAGGAAGAGCAGUGAAAGAACAAGGGAUGUCUUGGGCACAGAACUGUGAAAAGCCAAUGCUGAUGAAAUGUCUGUAAGGCCGUGGAUGGUCCAGGUGGAGAAAUGCAGACAGACCAUUUCUCGGACAGCCCUUAUGUUGCUAAAACCAAAGAAGUGAUGCGGAGUUUACUGAAGUCUGCCAAAAUUUUAUUUUACUUCUGCCACGGAACUCCAGGGGUUACACUUGCUAAGCAACAAUUGUCUAAGGUAUCAUAACUCUUUUCUAAAAUCAAUCUAUUCCACCCAAGCUUUAAUGUGAGCUCUUUUUUUAUUGCUCCUGAGAAGAUUCUUGGAGGCUUUUCCCCUCAUUCAAGCAAAGCUCCCACUGAAGUUAAUGAAAAUGGAAAGGUUCCCUAAGAUUCAGCCCAGAGGCACGUACAGAUCAUGAAAACUGAGCAGGAUUGAUAAAUGAGCUAUAUUUUGCCAGGCUGCAGUCUUGAACAGAUGGAUUUCCAUAUUCCUCAUACUAAUGUCAGAGAGAGAGAGAGUUCGCAUACUGCCAAAUGUUACAUUAAAUGUUACCAAACAAAUGGAAGAAUAUUGCUUAAAAUCUCCCAGUAAAUUCUCAUCAUGUUGACUAGAAGAUUACCCUGCCAUGUAUAACCUUUUUUUCUACUGUUUUUUCUUGGUCCUAAAUUGUGUAGGCUCAUAAUUGUCAUUUUUAAGUGCCUCCUUACUUUAAUGCCUAUGUAACAAAUAAAUCUACAAGGAAACAGCAGCAUGUUCAGCUCCAUCACUUACAUACUCAUGUCACUUAAAUAUUUUAAAAUAUUGUGCAAUCCCAUUUAAUAAUAAUAAUAAAAUAUCAGACUCUGCAUGUAUUGAUUUUAGAAUUUUAUUCUAUUGUCCAUCAUAGUAAUAUCUGACUACUACUGGUUUUAUAGGGAAAGUAAAGAAAGUCUCUGGCACUUCUCCCUUUAUAGGGUCAGAUCUCUGAUUGAAGGGGAGGGUUUGGGAGAGGUUUAGGAAUAAGAGGUGUUUGAAAUGUUUCACUUAUGGCAGGGAUGUUCUCUCGAAGAGGGAGGCUUUGCAUGGUUUCCCAGAAAGGUUUAGACUAUGGAUUUGCCUGAUCUCCCCAGGAAGAUUGCUAGAUGGAUCCUCUAAUAGAGAAUGCUUUACCUGGGCCUUGUGAGUUGCACUGUCACUGAGGAGUGGUAUUGUCGUGGGAGUUCAUAGACUGAAAUUUGGUUUGGAUGUAGCUGUGGCUCAAUCCAUUAACUGCUUUGAAAAUUAGGACCUAGGCCUUAAGUUGAUGUAAAAAGGGAAGUGGGAGGAGAAACUUGAGCAUCGAGUUGAUGUGCUCAUGGCAGCCUGAGCCAUGGAGAAGGCAGACAACUGCACUCUUCACCCCCGGAUCCUGUGCAUCCAUCUUUACAUUC